CCGGAGCCGCCGCCGCUGCCGCCGCCGCCAUGGCGCUGCCCCCGCGGCGCGGCCCUCGGCGCUGAGCUCCUCGCGCACCAUGGCCGGGGCCAUCGCGUCCCGCAUGAGCUUCAGCUCGCUCAAACGGAAGCAGCCCAAGACCUUCACGGUGCGCAUCGUCACCAUGGACGCCGAGAUGGAGUUCAGCUGCGAGGUGAAGUGGAAAGGCAAGGACUUGUUUGACCUGGUAUGCAGAACACUGGGACUCCGAGAAACAUGGUUCUUUGGCCUGCAGUACACUAUCAAGGACACGGUGGCUUGGCUUAAAAUGGACAAGAAGGUUCUGGAUCAUGAUGUGCCAACAGAGGAACCUGUCACCUUUCACUUCCUAGCCAAAUUUUAUCCUGAGAAUGCAGAGGAGGAGCUGGUCCAGGAGAUCACACAGCACUUGUUCUUCCUGCAGGUGAAGAAGCAGAUUUUGGAUGAGAAGAUCUACUGUCCUCCUGAAGCUUCUGUCCUGCUGGCCUCUUAUGCAGUCCAAGCCAAGUAUGGUGAUUAUGAUCCCAACGUCCACAAGCGAGGCUUUCUGGCACAGGAGGAGUUGCUUCCAAAGCGGGUAAUAAACCUGUACCAGAUGACUCCAGAGAUGUGGGAGGAGAGGAUUACAGCCUGGUAUGCAGAGCAUCGAGGCAGAGCAAGAGAUGAAGCAGAAAUGGAGUAUUUGAAGAUAGCUCAGGACUUGGAGAUGUAUGGAGUGAACUAUUUUGCAAUUAGGAAUAAGAAGGGUACUGAACUGCUCCUUGGAGUCGAUGCUUUGGGUCUUCACAUUUAUGACCCAGACAACAGAUUGACCCCUAAAAUCUCCUUCCCGUGGAAUGAGAUCCGGAAUAUCUCCUACAGUGAUAAAGAGUUUACAAUUAAGCCAUUGGACAAAAAGAUCGAUGUGUUCAAAUUCAAUUCAUCAAAGCUGCGUGUGAACAAGCUGAUUCUUCAGCUGUGCAUUGGAAACCACGAUCUUUUCAUGAGGAGGAGAAAGGCCGACUCAUUGGAGGUGCAGCAGAUGAAAGCACAGGCCAGGGAGGAGAAAGCCAGGAAGCAGAUGGAACGACAGCGCCUGGCCCGAGAGAAGCAAAUGAGAGAAGAGGCCGAAAGGACAAGGGAUGAGCUGGAGAGAAGGCUGAUGCAAUUAAAAGAAGAAGCAACGAUGGCCAACGAGGCCCUGAUGAGAUCUGAAGAGACAGCUGAUCUGCUGGCCGAGAAGGCUCAGAUCACGGAGGAGGAGGCCAAGCUCCUGGCUCAGAAAGCAGCAGAGGCUGAGCAAGAGAUGCAGCGAAUCAAAGCCACGGCCAUCCGGACGGAGGAGGAGAAGCGACUGAUGGAACAGAAGGUGCUAGAAGCAGAGAUGUUGGCACUGAAAAUGGCGGAGGAGUCAGAGAGGAGGGCAAAGGAGGCUGAUCAGCUAAAGCAAGACCUUCAGGAGGCUCGAGAGUCUGAGCGGAGAGCAAAGCAGAAGCUUUUGGAAAUCACUAGCAAGUCAUCCUACACGCAGUCCAUGAACUCCAGCACGACAGCACUGCCAACCGACCUGCCGAGCUUCAACCUCAUCAGUGAGAGCCUGUCCUUUGACUUCAAGGAUACAGACAUGAAGAGGCUGUCCAUGGAGAUCGAGAAAGAGAAGGUGGAGUACAUGGAGAAAAGCAAGCACCUGCAGGAGCAGCUGAAUGAGCUGAAGACUGAAAUCGAGGCGCUGAAGCUGAAGGAGAGAGAGACAGCUCUGGAUAUAUUGCACAACGAGAAUGCCAGCCGAGGCAACAGCAAGCACAACACUAUUAAAAAGAGCUGGCAGUGCCUUGGGCAGCAGGCUGAGCCAGGAGCUCGUGUGCCCGGAGGGAAGAUGUGUCUGGGGAAGCUGCUCUGCUCUUUCCAUGACUGAUCUUGCGUGCACCCACAGCAAGUUUUGAGUUGUAGCACUAAAGGAAGAAGCAAUGCAGCUCACCCUACAGAGCACCAAGUCCCGCGUGGCCUUCUUCGAGGAGCUCUAGGAGGUGACCGGCCCUGAGGAGUGGGGUUCCCAUCCCACGGCCCCACGCCGCCCCGAUGCCUGCUGCUCCCACCUGGGCUAUGGACUGGGAUCUUCUCCUCUUAGCAUCCCCCAGUUUGAGUUUUCCCCAUGUUCUCCUGUCCUUUUUUUUUUCCCCCCCCCCCUUAUUUUUCUACCUGCUCUGCUCUGUCUCGGCCCCCCAGGCUUUGUCCUCCAGGAGGAGGAUGGGGUUUGGAUCACAGCGCACCGAGGAGCGGAUGGGGCACUGCUGGCACCUGGAGCACGUGCAGGGAGAGGAGGAGAGCACGAAGGCUGAGGCUGCUGCUGUGCUGGGGAGAGGAGGAAGGGGCAGGAAGACCUCCUCCUCUUCCUCUGCAAGCAGGAAGGAGAACAACCCAUGCCAACCAGCUGUAGCCUUUUUUUCCCCGCAGACUGUGCCAGACACGGGCAGUGUGAGGCUGUGGGUCUGCCCAACCUCUACCCGCUCUGUGCCUUUCCAGGAGCUGCAGCAGCUCCCUUACCAGCUCCAGCUCACCACUGCCCUGUUUCACUUCCCUAUUUAGGCUGAGCAGGCCGAGGUGCUGACGGCACCCAAACCCCCCCGGGGACCCCCGUUGUCUCCCCCACAGGCCCCUGCCCACUGCUGGGCUCUGGGGCUGCCUCCAUCCCUGUGUCCCAUGCAAAGCAUCUCCCUGCAGGGGCCCGGGGCGCCCAGUGCCUGGCAGUGGGGCCCGGCCACACGCUGCCUCCACCCCACGGCGCCCCGACCCCUUUUAUUUAAGCACGCUGUCUGUAUCAGCUCCCUGCCCCAUGCGUGCCUGCCAUUUGGAUGGGUUCUCCCCUGACCCUGGUACAGCCUUUUUCUAUUCCCACGGAUUGUUGUAUCCUAAGAAAUGAUGGGUUCCUCGUUUGUUUUAAUAAAAACUCAAAGCAGGA